GAAGAAGUGCGGGGGAAACUUCCAGGUUAAGGUGUGUGAAUGCGAGCAUGUACCGAGGGACACAGCACUUGAAAGAUAUUUGAUGGUACCAGAAAAGGAUAUGGCAAGGAAGAAUAUUUAAGUUGAAGUCAAGACCUUCCUUCUUGGUGGAGCUUCCCAGAUAAAAAAGGACUAGCUCUCAGAAGUGUACCCCUUUUCAAAAUGCCUGUUGUUCACGGAAGAUGUGGCCAGGGAAAGAUGGACCA